rnacentral:lncRNA from 14 species
CUUUAAACCAGCAGACUGUGUUAAACAGAGAGAAAAGCAAACAUGAAGUUGCAGAGAGAGACACUGGCACUGAUACCUGCAAUUCAUCAGUGUGAGGCACCUUGAGAAAAAAAAAGAAAGGGGACAGCUAGUUCUGGCAGAGAAACAUGAAGUGCUCAGCAUGAAGAGCAGACUGAGUUGUGAUGACAGCAAGCCCCCUCAAUCACUCCAGG